rnacentral:rRNA from 1 species
CCUACGGGAGGCAGCAGUGAGGAAUAUUGGUCAAUGGGCGCGAGCCUGAACCAGCCAAGUAGCGUGAAGGAUGACUGCCCUAUGGGUUGUAAACUUCUUUUAUAAAGGAAUAAAACGAGGCACGUGUGCCUUUUUGCAUGUACUUUAUGAAUAAGCAUCGGCUAACUCCGUGCCAGCAGCCGCGGUAAUACGGAGGAUCCGAGCGUUAUCCGGAUUUAUUGGGUUUAAAGGGAGCGUAGAUGGGUUGUUAAGUCAGUUGUGAAAGUUUGCGGCUCAACCGUAAAAUUGCAAUUGAUACUGGCAGUCUUGAGUAUAGUUGAGGUAGGCGGAAUGCGUGGUGUAGCGGUGAAAUGCUUAGAUAUCACGAAGAACCCCGAUUGCGAAGGCAGCUUACUAAACUGUGACUGACAUUGAUGCUCUAAAGUGUGGGGAUCAAACAGGAUUAGAUACCCCUGUAGUC